CCAGAGAGAACUCGGGUGAAGGAACUAGGCAAAAUGGCACCGUAACUUCGGGAGAAGGUGCGCCGGUGAGGGUGAAGGACUUGCUCCGUAAGCCCAUGCCGGUCGAAGAUACCAGGCCGCUGCGACUGUUUAUUAAAAACACAGCACUCUGCAAACACGAAAGUGGACGUAUAGGGUGUGACGCCUGCCCGGUGCCGGAAGGUUAAUUGAUGGGGUUAGCUAACGCGAAGCUCUUGAUCGAAGCCCCGGUAAACGGCGGCCGUAACAAUAACGGUCCUAAGGUAGCGAAAUUCCUUGUCGGGUAAGUUCCGACCUGCACGAAUGGCGUAACGAUGGCGGCGCUGUCUCCACCCGAGACUCAGUGAAAUUGAAAUCGCUGUGAAGAUGCAGUGUAUCCGCGGCUAGACGGAAAGACCCCGUGAACCUUUACUAUAGCUUUGCACUGGACUUUGAAUUUGCUUGUGUAGGAUAGGUGGGAGGCUUUGAAGCGUGGACGCCAGUUCGCGUGGAGCCAACCUUGAAAUACCACCCUGGCAACUUUGAGGUUCUAACUCAGGUCCGUUAUCCGGAUCGAGGACAGUGUAUGGUGGGUAGUUUGACUGGGGCGGUCUCCUCCUAAAGAGUAACGGAGGAGUACGAAGGUGCGCUCAGACCGGUCGGAACUCGGUCGUAGAGUAUAAAGGCAAAAGCGCGCUUGACUGCGAGACAGACACGUCGAGCAGGUACGAAAGUAGGUCUUAGUGAUCCGGUGGUUCUGUAUGGAAGGGCCAUCGCUCAACGGAUAAAAGGUACUCCGGGGAUAACAGGCUGAUACCGCCCAAGAGUUCAUAUCGACGGCGGUGUUUGGCACCUCGAUGUCGGCUCAUCACAUCCUGGGGCUGAAGCCGGUCCCAAGGGUAUGGCUGUUCGCCAUUUAAAGUGGUACGCGAGCUGGGUUUAGAACGUCGUGAGACAGUUCGGUCCCUAUCUGCCGUGGACGUUUGAGAUUUGAGAGGGGCUGCUCCUAGUACGAGAGGACCGGAGUGGACGAACCUCUGGUGUUCCGGUUGUCACGCCAGUGGCAUUGCCGGGUAGCUAUGUUCGGAAUAGAUAACCGCUGAAAGCAUCUAAGCGGGAAACUAGCCUCAAGAUGAGAUCUCACUGGGACCUUGAGUCCCCUGAAGGGCCGUCGAAGACUACGACGUUGAUAGGUUGGGUGUGUAAGCGCUGUGAGGCGUUGAGCUAACCAAUACUAAUUGCCCGUGAGGCUUGAAAAA
rnacentral:rRNA from 1 species